CCUACGGGAGGCAGCAGUGAGGAAUAUUGGUCAAUGGACGAGAGUCUGAAGCAGCCAAGUAGCGUGAAGGAUGACUGCUCUAUGGGUUGUAAACUUCUUUUAUAUGGGAAUAAAAUGUUCCAAGUGGGGGAUUUUGUACGUACCAUUUGAAUAAGGAUCGGCUAACUCCUUGCCAGGAGCCGCGGUUAUACGGAGGCACCGAGCGUUAUCCGGAUUUAAUGGGUUUAAAGGGAGCGUAGGUGGAUUGUUAAGUCAGUUGUGAAAGUUUGCGGCUCAACCGUAGAAUUGCAGUUGAAACUGGCAGUCUAGAGUACAGUAGAGGUGGGCAGAAUUCGUGGUGUAGCGGUGAAAUGCGUAGAUAUCACGAAGAACACUGAUUGCGAAGGCGGCUCACUGGACUGCAACUGACACUGAGGCUCGAAAGUGUGGGUAUCAAACAGGAUUAGAUACCCUAGUAGUC
rnacentral:rRNA from 1 species